rnacentral:rRNA from 1 species
AUUGAACGCUGGCGGAAUGCUUUACACAUGCCAGUCGAACGGUAGAGGGGGCAACCCCUCGAGACUGGCGAACGGGUGAGUAAUAUAUCGGAACGUGCCCAGUAGUGGGGGAUCACGUAGCGUAAGCUACGCUAAUACCGCCUACGAUCUAAGGAUGAAAGCGGGGGAUAGCAAGACCUCGCGCGAUUGGAGCGGCCGAUAUCAGGUUAGGUGGUUGGUGGGGUAAAGGCUCACCAAGCCAACGAUCUGCAGCUGGGCUGAGAGGACGACCAGCCACACUGGAACUGAGACACGGCCCAGACUCCUACGGGAGGCAGCAGUGGGGAAUUUUGGACAAUGGACGCAAGUCUGAUCCAGCCAUUCCGCGUGCAGGAUGAAGGCCCUCGGGUUGUAAACUGCUUUUGUACGGAACGAAAAGGUCUCUUUUAAUACGGGGGGCUCAUGACGGUACCGUAAGAAUAAGCACCGGCUAACUACGUGCCAGCCGCCGCAGUAA